AAGUCGUAACAAGGUUUCCGUAGGUGAACCUGCGGAAGGAUCAUUAUCGAGUCUUCUCGUUUGCCUUGGCUUUUGGCUGUGCAUACUCUUCGGAGUGUUGCACGCCAUGGCUGAGACGAAUGUUUGACUUACACACACCUGUGCACCUUUGACUUGUCUGCAUCCGUUCGCAAUGAUUUUUUUUUCGUGCGGUUAGAGUGUUGCGGUGAGCUGCAAAGCUCAUAGCUCGCUCUGGGAGGCGAAAAGACUUGUCUUUUUUUACACCAUCUCUGUAUGUUUUUUGAAAAUCGUCGGUUGCUCUGUAAUGGGGUGAUCGUUUAAAUAAAUACAACUUUCAGCAACGGAUCUCUUGGCUCUCC
rnacentral:misc_RNA from 1 species